rnacentral:rRNA from 1 species
GUUCCAGUCCAACGUUAAUCGGGGCUGGGUGAGUCGACCCCUAAGGCGAGGCCGAAAGGCGUAGUCGAUGGGAAAAUGGUUAAUAUUCCAUUACUUCUGUGUAAUGCGAUGAGAGGACGGAGAAGGCUAAAUCAGCCUGGCGUUGGUUGUCCAGGUGAAAGGAUGUAGGCAUGUAUCUUAGGCAAAUCCGGGGUACUCUAUGCUGAGAUCUGAUAGCAAGCUGUACUUGUACAGCGAAGUGGUUGAUGCCAUGCUUCCAGGAAAAGUCUCUAAGCUUCAGUUACACAGGAAUCGUACCCGAAACCGACACAGGUGGUCAGGUCGAGUAGACCAAGGCGCUUGAGAGAACUCUGCUGAAGGAACUAGGCAAAAUGGUACCGUAACUUCGGGAGAAGGUACGCUGUUGUUGGUGAUGGAACUCGCUUCCUGAGCUGACGACAGCCGCAGAAACCAGGCCGCUGCAACUGUUUAUUAAAAACAUAGCACUCUGCAAACACGAAAGUGGACGUAUAGGGUGUGAUGCCUGCCCGGUGCUGGAAGGUUAAUUGAUGGGGUUAGCGUAAGCGAAGCUCUUGAUCGAAGCCCCAGUAAACGGCGGCCGUAACUAUAACGGUCCUAAGGUAGCGAAAUUCCUUGUCGGGUAAGUUCCGACCUGCACGAAUGGCAUAAUGAUGGCGGCGCUGUCUCCAGCAGAGGCUCAGUGAAAUCGAAAUCGCUGUGAAGAUGCAGUGUACCCGCGGCUAGACGGAAAGACCCCGUGAACCUUUACUGCAGCUUGACACUGAACUUUGACCUUACUUGUGUAGGAUAGGUGGGAGGCUUUGAAGCUGGAACGCUAGUUCCAGUGGAGCCGUCCUUGAAAUACCACCCUGGUAAUGUUGAGGUUCUAACUCUGUCCCGUGAUCCGGGACGAGGACCGUGUCUGGUGGGUAGUUUGACUGGGGCGGUCUCCUCCUAAAGAGUAACGGAGGAGUACGAAGGUGCGCUCAGCGUGGUCGGAAAUCACGCGUAGAGUAUAAAGGCAAAAGCGCGCUUAACUGCGAGACCCACAAGUCGAGCAGGUACGAAAGUAGGUCUUAGUGAUCCGGUGGUUCUGUAUGGAAGGGCCAUCGCUCAACGGAUAAAAGGUACUCUGGGGAUAACAGGCUGAUACCGCCCAAGAGUUCAUAUCGACGGCGGUGUUUGGCACCUCGAUGUCGGCUCAUCUCAUCCUGGGGCUGAAGCAGGUCCCAAGGGUAUGGCUGUUCGCCAUUUAAAGAGGUACGCGAGCUGGGUUUAGAACGUCGUGAGACAGUUCGGUCCCUAUCUACCGUGGGCGCUGGAAAUUUGAGAGGAUCUGCUCCUAGUACGAGAGGACCAGAGUGGACGAACCUCUGGUGUACCGGUUGUGACGCCAGUCGCAUCGCCGGGUAGCUAUGUUCGGAAGGGAUAACCGCUGAAAGCAUCUAAGCGGGAAGCCUACCUCAAGAUAAGAUUUCCCUAGGACUUUAUGUCCUCUAAAGAGCCGUUCGAGACUAGGACGUUGAUAGGUUGGAUGUGGAAGCAUAGUGAUAUGUGAAGCUGACCAAUA